rnacentral:rRNA from 1 species
AGGACGAACGCUGGCGGCGUGCUUAACACAUGCAAGUCGAACGAGGCGCUUGCGCCUAGUGGCGAACGGGUGAGUAACACGUGAGCAACCUGCCCUUGGCUCUGGGAUAGCCUCCGGAAACGGGGAUUAAUACCGGACAUGACCUUCUCCUGCAUGGGGGAGGGUGGAAAGUUUUUCGGCCAGGGAGGGGCUCGCGGCCUAUCAGCUUGUUGGGGGGGUAACGGCCCACCAAGGCGACGACGGGUAGCCGGCCUGAGAGGGCGACCGGCCACACUGGGACUGAGACACGGCCCAGACUCCUACGGGAGGCAGCAGUGGGGAAUAUUGCACAAUGGGGGAAACCCUGAUGCAGCGACGCCGCGUGCGGGAUGAAGGCCUUCGGGUUGUAAACCGCUUUCAGCGAGGGGCGAAUUCGAGACGGUACCUGCAGAAGAAGCGCCGGCUAACUACGCGCCAGCACGCCGAC